UCCGGUUUAACACCGGCAGUCUCUCUAGAGUUCCCGGCAUGACCCGCUGGCAACUAGAGACAAGGGUUUCGCUCGUUAAGGGACUUAACCCGACAUCUCACGACACGAGCUGACGACAGCCAUGCAGCACCUGUGCACGUUGUACCCGAAGGCCUGGCUCCUCUUUCAAGGAGUUAAUCCGUGCAUGUCAAGACUAGGAUAAGGUUCUUCGCGUAGCCUCGAAUUAAGCCACAUCCUCCACCGCUUGUGUGAGCCCCCGUCAAUUUCUUUGAGUUUCAGCCUUGCGACCAUACUCCCCAGGCGCAGCACUUAACACUUUCGCUUCAACUGAAGGGCUAUGGGAGGCCCUUCAAUUCAGUGCUGAGAGUUUACGGCUAGGACUAC
rnacentral:misc_RNA from 1 species